rfam:Pseudomonas sp. MF4836 contig019, whole genome shotgun sequence.
AUCAGGGGCCCUGGCAAGGGCCUUCGGAUCGCCGCUCUAACCUACCCACCUGAGCCGAUUCGUGUCUGUACCGCCCACAAGGCGUGUUUGACGAGAUUGCGACUGGAACGAAGUUGUCCCGAGGGACGGAAGCGUAAUUAGGUAGAACGGCAACACACUGCUGGAACGCAUAAAGGCCCACGAUGCCCGGACGCGCCCGACAGCUGGCCCUCACCUGCUCACUUUCC